rnacentral:rRNA from 1 species
UUAAGCGACUAAGCGUACACGGUGGAUGCCCUGGCAGUCAGAGGCGAUGAAGGACGUGCUAAUCUGCGAUAAGCGUCGGUAAGGUGAUAUGAACCGUUAUAACCGGCGAUUUCCGAAUGGGGAAACCCAGUGUGUUUCGACACACUAUCAUUAACUGAAUCCAUAGGUUAAUGAGGCGAACCGGGGGAACUGAAACAUCUAAGUACCCCGAGGAAAAGAAAUCAACCGAGAUUCCCCCAGUAGCGGCGAGCGAACGGGGAGCAGCCCAGAGCCUGAAUCAGUGUGUGUGUUAGUGGAAGCGUCUGGAAAGGCGCGCGAUACAGGGUGACAGCCCCGUACACAAAAAUGCACAUGCUGUGAGCUCGAUGAGUAGGGCGGGACACGUGGUAUCCUGUCUGAAUAUGGGGGGACCAUCCUCCAAGGCUAAAUACUCCUGACUGACCGAUAGUGAACCAGUACCGUGAGGGAAAGGCGAAAAGAACCCCGGCGAGGGGAGUGAAAAAGAACCUGAAACCGUGUACGUACAAGCAGUGGGAGCACGCUUCGGCGUGUGACUGCGUACCUUUUGUAUAAUGGGUCAGCGACUUAUAUUCUGUAGCAAGGUUAACCGAAUAGGGGAGCCGAAGGGAAACCGAGUCUUAACUGGGCGUUAAGUUGCAGGGUAUAGACCCGAAACCCGGUGAUCUAGCCAUGGGCAGGUUGAAGGUUGGGUAACACUAACUGGAGGACCGAACCGACUAAUGUUGAAAAAUUAGCGGAUGACUUGUGGCUGGGGGUGAAAGGCCAAUCAAACCGGGAGAUAGCUGGUUCUCCCCGAAAGCUAUUUAGGUAGCGCCUCGUGAAUUCAUCUCCGGGGGUAGAGCACUGUUUCGGCAAGGGGGUCAUCCCGACUUACCAACCCGAUGCAAACUGCGAAUACCGGAGAAUGUUAUCACGGGAGACACACGGCGGGUGCUAACGUCCGUCGUGAAGAGGGAAACAACCCAGACCGCCAGCUAAGGUCCCAAAGUCAUGGUUAAGUGGGAAACGAUGUGGGAAGGCCCAGACAGCCAGGAUGUUGGCUUAGAAGCAGCCAUCAUUUAAAGAAAGCGUAAUAGCUCACUGGUCGAGUCGGCCUGCGCGGAAGAUGUAACGGGGCUAAACCAUGCACCGAAGCUGCGGCAGCGACGCUUAUGCGUUGUUGGGUAGGGGAGCGUUCUGUAAGCCUGCGAAGGUGUGCUGUGAGGCAUGCUGGAGGUAUCAGAAGUGCGAAUGCUGACAUAAGUAACGAUAAAGCGGGUGAAAAGCCCGCUCGCCGGAAGACCAAGGGUUCCUGUCCAACGUUAAUCGGGGCAGGGUGAGUCGACCCCUAAGGCGAGGCCGAAAGGCGUAGUCGAUGGGAAACAGGUUAAUAUUCCUGUACUUGGUGUUACUGCGAAGGGGGGACGGAGAAGGCUAUGUUGGCCGGGCGACGGUUGUCCCGGUUUAAGCGUGUAGGCUGGUUUUCCAGGCAAAUCCGGAAAAUCAAGGCUGAGGCGUGAUGACGAGGCACUACGGUGCUGAAGCAACAAAUGCCCUGCUUCCAGGAAAAGCCUCUAAGCAUCAGGUAACAUCAAAUCGUACCCCAAACCGACACAGGUGGUCAGGUAGAGAAUACCAAGGCGCUUGAGAGAACUCGGGUGAAGGAACUAGGCAAAAUGGUGCCGUAACUUCGGGAGAAGGCACGCUGAUAUGUAGGUGAAGUCCCUUGCGGAUGGAGCUGAAAUCAGUCGAAGAUACCAGCUGGCUGCAACUGUUUAUUAAAAACACAGCACUGUGCAAACACGAAAGUGGACGUAUACGGUGUGACGCCUGCCCGGUGCCGGAAGGUUAAUUGAUGGGGUCAGCGCAAGCGAAGCUCUUGAUCGAAGCCCCGGUAAACGGCGGCCGUAACUAUAACGGUCCUAAGGUAGCGAAAUUCCUUGUCGGGUAAGUUCCGACCUGCACGAAUGGCGUAAUGAUGGCCAGGCUGUCUCCACCCGAGACUCAGUGAAAUUGAACUCGCUGUGAAGAUGCAGUGUACCCGCGGCAAGACGGAAAGACCCCGUGAACCUUUACUAUAGCUUGACACUGAACAUUGAGCCUUGAUGUGUAGGAUAGGUGGGAGGCUUAGAAGUGUGGACGCCAGUCUGCAUGGAGCCGACCUUGAAAUACCACCCUUUAAUGUUUGAUGUUCUAACGUUGACCCGUAAUCCGGGUUGCGGACAGUGUCUGGUGGGUAGUUUGACUGGGGCGGUCUCCUCCUAAAGAGUAACGGAGGAGCACGAAGGUUGGCUAAUCCUGGUCGGACAUCAGGAGGUUAGUGCAAUGGCAUAAGCCAGCUUGACUGCGAGCGUGACGGCGCGAGCAGGUGCGAAAGCAGGUCAUAGUGAUCCGGUGGUUCUGAAUGGAAGGGCCAUCGCUCAACGGAUAAAAGGUACUCCGGGGAUAACAGGCUGAUACCGCCCAAGAGUUCAUAUCGACGGCGGUGUUUGGCACCUCGAUGUCGGCUCAUCACAUCCUGGGGCUGAAGUAGGUCCCAAGGGUAUGGCUGUUCGCCAUUUAAAGUGGUACGCGAGCUGGGUUUAGAACGUCGUGAGACAGUUCGGUCCCUAUCUGCCGUGGGCGCUGGAGAACUGAGGGGGGCUGCUCCUAGUACGAGAGGACCGGAGUGGACGCAUCACUGGUGUUCGGGUUGUCAUGCCAAUGGCACUGCCCGGUAGCUAAAUGCGGAAGAGAUAAGUGCUGAAAGCAUCUAAGCACGAAACUUGCCCCGAGAUGAGUUCUCCCUGACUCCUUGAGAGUCCUGAAGGAACGUUGAAGACGACGACGUUGAUAGGCCGGGUGUGUAAGCGCAGCGAUGCGUUGAGCUAACCGGUACUAAUGAACCGUGAGGCUUAACCUU